rnacentral:snRNA from 1 species
GGUGAGAGCUAUCUGGGUAUGACAUCUGUCACUCCAUGGAUUACUGAGGUUGAUUGAGCUGAUCUGCCUCUUUAGGCUGCUGUCUCCUCCUUCUCUUACUGUCACAUAUGUCACAGAGCUCUCCCCAAAACUGUGUACUCCAUGGAAGGUGGACGAGGGCAAAUUUGCCCAAGGAUGGCUUUCCCAGACCAGAAGAGGAGUGGUCUUUAGUCAAGGGUAUAUGAGUGGCUACAUUCCCAUGCUAGUAACUCCAAAUAAGUUCUCAGAUUCCAAAUUAUGGCUACAAAAGUAAUCGCUUAUAUAAGGCAGAUUUGUCUCCUUGCUUGCAUCUUUAAAUAAGACAAUGAUCUGUUCUA